rnacentral:rRNA from 1 species
GAUGAACGCUGGCGGCGUGCCUAAUACAUGCAAGUCGAGCGAACGGACGAGAAGCUUGCUUCUCUGAUGUUAGCGGCGGACGGAUGAGUAACACGUGGAUAACCUACCUAUAAGACUGGGAUAACUUCGGGAAACCGGAGCUAAUACCGGAUAAUAUAUUGAACCGCAUGGUUCAAUAGUGAAAGACGGUUUUGCUGUCACUUAUAGAUGGAUCCGCGCCGCAUUAGCUAGUUGGUAAGGUAACGGCUUACCAAGGCGACGAUGCGUAGCCGACCUGAGAGGGUGAUCGGCCACACUGGAACUGAGACACGGUCCAGACUCCUACGGGAGGCAGCAGUAGGGAAUCUUCCGCAAUGGGCGAAAGCUUGACGGAGCAACGCCGCGUGAGUGAUGAAGGUCUUCGGAUCGUAAAACUCUGUUAUUAGGGAAGAACAAAUGUGUAAGUAACUAUGCACGUCUUGACGGUACCUAAUCAGAAAGCCACGGCUAACUACGUG